GAUCCAGGACAGCAUCACCCCAGCUGAUGCCAGGGAGAUUGAAGAUCACCAGAGGCACCAAUGGCAGUGACUGAAGAACCCCAGCAACACUGUCAUACAACAGAAGCACUCUAGCUCAGAGUUAGCAGUUGAGGGUAUAAGACAGUGCCAAGAGGACCUUCCUCAGGGAUCAGAUGUACUCUCUGAAAAUAAAGUAAGGUGGUGUGUUCUGGUGUUAGGUUCAUUGGUUGGGUUUCAUUGUUGUCAUUAUUUUGUACAUAAAGUUAUUUUGGGUCAGAAGCUGAAUGCUUGUAUACUGUGUAAAUGUAUUUGUGAUCAGUUUAAACCUGUUUGUUCUU
rnacentral:lncRNA from 1 species